AUUAAGAUGCUCAGAGACCUGAAAAACAAAGCUUUCCUAUGCCUCUAGAAGAGGGUACAAAGGAUGCCUAGCGUUGCCAGAAAGAUCCUGCACAGUGUGGAUGUGGGUCUGCCAAGCUGGGGCAGAGGAGACAUAAGACACAAAUCUGGGCUGAAGAAGCACAGUGAAAAACAUCACCAGCUCAGAUGUACCACGUGAGAUAACAUUUUGCUGCUUGGAUCUGGACAAGUCACUAUCUGUGCCUUGCCUCAGUUACCAGCCUCUAGUCAACAGCUGACACAUCACAAGUGUACUGAGAGUUUGCAGUAGACCAUGCCCUGGGAUGCUGCAGUG